AUCACAGCUCAGCUGCAGUGUUUUGCUCGCCUUUACCGUGACUGGGAUUAAUAUUUACACACGAGAAACCUGCAGAGUUCUUAAAGACACAGCCCAAAAUGGUUGUAUAUUCUCAAAAACUUUUAUAUUCUCAAGCAUUAAAGCUAAAACAAAAGGGAAAUGUAACAGUAAGAAAACUCCAGUUCAUUCAUAUAUAAGCAUAAACAAGAGAUUUGGGGAAAAAAUGCGUAAACACUGGACUAAUUUUUUUCAUCAAUUUAACUUUGACUUUCAUGGCAGGGCUGCAAGGAUAAAGUACUCCCCUCCAAAAAACACUGCCUACAGCUAAAUGGCAUGUGGAUAAGUCACAUGACAAGAGAUGAGAAUUAAAUUAGAACAAAGAAUAAAGUUUUUUAAUUUUUUCAGUCAAAAUGUUUUUGUGAAAUGUAACCCUGGUAAGAUUUACAGCAAUCAGAAGUACAGGGUUCUUUGAAUGCAUCGUACUUCUCGUCUGAUAGUUUAAUUUCCGGGCUUGCCCUGAAGGCAUCACCUGCAGCUCGGUGCGCGUGAAGGUGUGGUGUAGAGGAACAGAGACGGCAAGGAAAAACUCCAUGCUGCCGCGAAGCACGGUUUUCCAGUUGAAAGAGAGAAAAGAGAUUCCAGUAACAUUUGUGAGAGAGCUGCCGUUAGCGGUGAACCACAGACGAGUACCUACCUUGAAGGAGUCGGAGUGUUUCUUCGAACUUUUUGAACUAUUCUGACUGGUUUUUUUUUUUUUUUGUUGAGGAACAAUUCCAUGUGUGCUGCACAAGGAGCUGCCAUCGCAGAUCUAGGACACUGUUGCUGCUGUGGAGGCCUUCUGUGUGUCAGGACGCGACUCGUUGAUGCCUGCCGUACCAGGAGGGCGGUAGGGAAAAAAAAACAAAAGGAAGUCCACCUGAGAGACACUUUAUCAUUUUCUUUUGCUACUUUUUUCAUCGCCUGGAACUCAGGUUGUUUUUUGUUCUCAAACCCAAUAACUGGUAACUAAAUGAAACUGACAUUAUAAAAACUGACGGUUGACAACCAGUAAAAGUCUAGUGGUACCACAUUUUCUUUUCUUUUUCCUUUUCUUUGGGGGUGUUGAAAUAUUGUGUUUUCUUUCCUAUCUUACAUCUGUUUUGAUUGUUUCAAUUAUUUUUGUGAUGCAUUUGAGUUGUUUGCUGCAUUUGAAGGUAUCCCUACGUUGAGGAUGAGCAAAGGGAACUGAUCCAAAGAAAAUAUAUAUAUAAAGCAAACUUUGUUUCACAAA